rnacentral:rRNA from 1 species
UACGUAGGGGCCGAACGUUGUCCGGAGUUAUUGGGCGUAAAGCGCGCGCAGGCGGCCUCGCGCGCCCGACGUGAAAGCCCCCGGCUUAACCGGGGAGGGUCGUUGGGGACGGCGGGGCUUGAGGGCGGGAGAGGGCGGUGGAAUUCCCGGUGUAGUGGUGAAAUGCGUAGAGAUCGGGAGGAACACCUGUGGCGAAGGCGGCCGUCUGGGCCGACCCUGACGCUGAGGCGCGAAGGCGUGGGGAGCGAACGGG